GUGGGGCUAGCUCUUAACGGCAGAGCGGCUGCUUUGCAAGCAGAAGGUUGAGGGUUCGAAUCCCUCGCCCUACA
rnacentral:tRNA from 1 species